AGCACAGCGUGGGGGCAGGGAGGGACGGAAAAAAAGAUUUUGUGGUUCCUCCUAGGUCAACGUCCUAGGAGCUUUCACCUGGGUUAGCUAUCAAGUUGCUUCCUCUGUUUCCACUAUCCUAUAAUUCCCUCGGAUCAAAAUAAGAAGCAUCGUGCCUGGUUUUCUGCCCUCACUGCACAUGCAAAAAGGUGUCGACAUCAGAAUUGGCAACCUGGUCGGCAGACUCAGAGAGCGGCCAAUGGACAAAUUGUUUACGCAGAAUAAACCUCCAUCUCUCCCACGAUGACAGUGCAUAUGUCUUAGAAUCCCAGCUCUUUCUCCAGCACCAUGUCUGCCUGCACACUAUCAUGCUUCCCGCCAUGAUGACAGUGGACUAAACCUCUGAAACUGUAAGCCAGCCCCAGUUAAAUGGUGU